rnacentral:rRNA from 4 species
AAAAAUUUUCAACGGAGGAUAUCUUGGUUCCCAUAUCGAUGAAGAACGCAGCCAAAUGCGAUACGCAAUGCGAAUUGCAGAAUUCCGCGAGUCAUCAGAUCUUUGAACGCAAGUGGCGC